ACUCAAAGGAAUUGACGGGGGCCCGCACAAGCAGUGGAUUAUGUGGUUUAAUUCGACGAUACCCGAAGAACCUUACCAGAACUUGACAUCCAGAGAAUGCUGUAGAAGUACAGCAGUGCCCGCAAGGGAGCUUUGAGACAGGUGGUGCAUGGUUGUCGUCAGCUCGUGUCGUGAGAUGUUAGGUUAAGUCCUGCAACGAGCGCAACCCUCGUCCUGUGUUACUACAUUUAGUUGAGGACUCUCAGGAGACUGCCCGUGGCAAACGGGAGGAAGGUGGGGAUGACGUCAAAUCAUCAUGCCCUUUAUGUUCUGGGCUACACACAUAAUACAAUGGUCGGUACAAAGGGAUGCCAAACCGCAAGGUGGAGCUAAUCUCAAAAAACCGGCCUCAGUUCAGAUUGUAGGCUGCAACUCGCCUGCAUGAAGAUGGAAUUGCUAGUAAACGCAGAUCAGAAUGCUGCGUUGAAUACGUUCCCGGGCCUUGUACACACCGCCCGU
rnacentral:rRNA from 1 species